rnacentral:rRNA from 1 species
AUACGGAUGGUGCGAGCGUUAUUCGGAAUCACUGGGCAUAAAGAGCACGUAGGCGGCUUUUCAAGUCAGUGGUGAAAUCCCCCGGCUCAACCGGGGAACUGCCAUUGAUACUGUAGAGCUAGAGUGUGGGAGGGGCAGACGGAAUUCCAGGUGGAGCGGUGAAAUGCGUAGAUAUCUGGAGGAACGCCAGAGGCGAAAGCGGUCUGCUGGCCCACAACUGACGCUGAGGUGCGAAAGCUAGGGGAGCGAACGGGAUUAGAUACCCUAGUAGUCC